rnacentral:misc_RNA from 1 species
AAGUCGUAACAAGGUUUCCGUAGGUGAACCUGCGGAAGGAUCAUUAAGAUGUCAGAGUGGGUUUCCCGCUCGCCCUCGUCAAGAGGAUACCACCUGUGAACCACCGAACCGUCCGCCUCCUCGGCGGCGGUCCAUUUUUAAGCUAUGUACGUCUGAACUGUUUUUAUUACGAAGCGAAUCAAAA